rnacentral:rRNA from 1 species
AUGGUAGCAGCCAUGGAGGAAACUUCCAAUGUAGGCUCAGAGGAAACUUUGGCCGUCGUGAGUCCUGCGGGCCAAGCCGCCGUCACAGGGUCGGGCGACGGCACGGACCAUCAGUCCGGUGAACCCGACGCGACGAUUACAAGGCCGCCGCCGCCGUCCCGUAGUAAUAAUUAUGGGGCCGUCGUCAUCGGCGGCACCUUCGACCGCCUGCACCGCGGCCACCACCUCUUCCUCCAGGCGGCGGCGGAGCUGGCGAGGGAGCGGGUCGUGAUCGGCGUCUGCGACGGCCCGAUGCUCGCCAAGAAGAAGUAUGGUUACCUGAUACAACCAAUCGAGACGCGGAUGGAAAAUGUCAAGGAUUAUAUCAAGUCUAUCAAGCCGGAUCUUGAGGUUCAUGUCGAACCAAUCAUCGACCCUUAUGGCCCCUCCAUUGUCGAUGAGGCUCUGGAGGCAAUCGUUGUCAGCAAGGAGACAUUGCCAGGAGCGCAUGCUGUCAACAGGAAGAGGGCCGAGAGAGGCCUCACACAGCUGGAGAUUGAGGUGGUGGAACUAGUGCCAGAGAAGUCUACAGGGAACAAGAUCAGCUCUACAGCAUUCAGAAAGAUUGAGGCCGAAAAGGCACUGCAGCAGCAAAAGCUGGACCAGCAGGAGGAGCAACAAACAGUUCAGCUGGAGUGCAGGACAUAG